GGGGUAGACUGGAUUUGACAGCGAGUAGAAAAGGUACGUAAGCAUGCAGUGCGUGGUUGGUUGGCACUAUAAUCCCGGCUAACAAAAAUUUAUCUGGCGAAAAUAACUACGCUCUCGCUGCGUAAUCGAAGUAUAGUAGAUUACCUUUAUUCCUGCACUAGGUGCGGGAACGAGACAUCACUCAAAAGCUGUGGUUCCGAAGCAUUUUGAUACAGUGGUGCAGCUAAAUCGGAAAUAGUUGGAUGCAGCCUCGUGCAUACAAUGAAAAUUUAGAGGAUAAGACAUAGGUUGGUGGCUCUGGUCUUGCCUAUGUUCGAAAAUUCAAGGCAGAGAUAAGCAUGUAGAAAGCGUAUGGUUUCCUUGUUUGGACGAGGGUUCGAACCCCUCCUACUCCAC
rnacentral:tmRNA from 1 species